rnacentral:rRNA from 1 species
CGAACGAGAAAGCCCCGGCUUGCCGGGGUGAGUAAAGUGGCGCACGGGUGAGUAACACGUGGAUAACCUACCCUUCAGUGGGGAAUAACUCUGGGAAACUGGAGAUAAUACCGCAUAACAUCCAGCGACUGCGGUCACUGGAUUGAAACCCGGAAACGGGGCUGAUGGAGGGGUCCGCGGCCGAUUAGCUAGUUGGUGAGGUAACGGCCCACCAAGGCGAGGAUCGGUAGCCGGCCUGAGAGGGCGGACGGCCACACUGGAACUGAAACACGGUCCAGACUCCUACGGGAGGCAGCAGUGGGGAAUUUUGCGCAAUGGGGGCAACCCUGACGCAGCAACGCCGCGUGGACGAUGAAGCCCCUUGGGGUGUAAAGUCCUUUCGGCAGGGACGAAGCCCGAGCAAUCGGGCGGACGGUACCUGAAGAAGAAGCCCCGGCUAACUCCGUGCCAGCAGCCGCGGUAAUACGGGGGGGGCAAGCGUUGUU